rnacentral:rRNA from 1 species
UGCGGGAUGAAGGCCUUCGGGUUGUAAACCGCUUUCAGUAGGGAAGAAGCGAAAGUGACGGUACCUACAAAAGAAGCACCGGCUAACUAUGUGCCAGCAGCCGCGGUAAUACAUAGGGUGCAAGCGUUGUCCGGAAUUAUUGGGCGUAAAGAGCUCGUAGGUCGUUUGUUACGUCGGAUGUGAAAACCUGAGGUUCAACCUCAGGCCUGCAUUCGAUACGGGCAAACUAGAGUUUGGUAGGGGAGACUGGAAUUCCUGGUGUAGCGGUGGAAUGCGCAGAUAUCAGGAGGAACACCAAUGGCGAAGGCAGGUUUCUGGGCCAAUACUGACACUGAGGAGCGAAAGUUUGGGGAGCAAACAGGAUUAGAUACCCUGGUAGUCCAGACCGUAAACGGUGGGCACUAGUUGUGGGAACCUUCCACGG